rnacentral:rRNA from 1 species
UACGUAGGGGGCAAGCGUUGUCCGGAUUUAUUGGGCGUAAAGAGCGUGUAGGCGGCUGGGUAGGUCCGUUGUGAAAACUCGAGCUCAACCUCGAGACGCCGAUGGAAACCCUCCAGCUAGAGUCCGGAAGAGGAGAGUGGAAUUCCUGGUGUAGCGGUGGAAUGCGUAGAGAUCCGGAAGAACACCGGUGGCGAAGGCGGCCUGCUGGGCAGUGGCUGACGCUGAGGCGCGACAGCGUGGGGAGCAAACAGG